rnacentral:rRNA from 1 species
GCAUGCAGGUGGUUUGUUAAGUCAGAUGUGAAAGCCCGGGGCUCAACCUCGGAAUUGCAUUUGAAACUGGCAGACUAGAGUACUGUAGAGGGGGGUAGAAUUUCAGGUGUAGCGGUGAAAUGCGUAGAGAUCUGAAGGAAUACCGGUGGCGAAGGCGGCCCCCUGGACAGAUACUGACACUCAGAUGCGAAAGCGUGGGGAGCAAACAGGAUUAGAUACCCUGGUAGUCCACGCCGUAAACGAUGUCUACUUGGAGGUUGUGGCCUUGAGCCGUGGCUUUCGGAGCUAACGCGUUAAGUAGACCGCCUGGGGAGUACGGUCGCAAGAUUAAAACUCAAAGGAAUUGACGG